GAUGAACGCUGGCGGCGUGCUUAAUACAUGCAAGUCGAACGGACGGGCGCUACUCUUGCGGUGCGCUUGUUAGGCGAACAGGUGAGUAACACGUGUGUAACCCGCACCUGUCUUUGUGGUAACUUUAGGAAACUGGGGCUCUUAUCGGGUAGAAGAUUUUGCAGCACGGUGUGGGAUGGAAAGUUUCGGCGGUUUGGGAUGGAUUCGCGGGUUAUCAGCUUGUUGGUGGAGUAGUUGCUUACCAAGCCUAAGACGGGUAGCCGGCCUGAGAGGGUGGCCGGCCACAUGAGGACUAAGAGACGGCCCAGACGCCUACGGGAGGCAGCAGUGGGGAAUAUGGCAGAAUGGGCGGAAGCCAGAUACAACAACGCCGCGUGCGGGAUAACCGCCUUCGGGUGAUAAACCGCUGUCUCCGUAGACGAGGCGUGAGUGACGGUAACGAGUAAGAAAGCAACGGCUAACUACGUG
rnacentral:rRNA from 1 species